rnacentral:rRNA from 1 species
CCUACGGGUGGCAGCAGUGGGGGAUAUUGCACAAUGGGCGGAACCCUGAUGCAGCGACGCCGCGUGGGUGAAGAAGCGCCUCGGCGCGUAAAGCCCUGUUAGUAGGGAAGAAAAUGCCGGUACCUGAAGAAGAAGCCUCGGCCAACUACGUGCCAGCAGCCGCGGUAAUACGUAGGGGGCAAGCGUUAUCCGGUUUUUCUGGGUGUAAAGGGGGCGCAGGCGGUGUUGCAAGCCAGGAGUGAAAGCCCGGGGUCGAAUCCCGGGAGUGCACUGGAAACUGCGUGGAUGGAGUGCAGGAGGGGCAGGCGGAAUGCCUGGUGUAGCGGUGAAAUGCGUAGAUAUCAGGAGGAACACCGGUGGCGAAGGCGGCCUGCUGGACUGCAACUGACGUUGAGGCUCGAAAGCGUGGGGAGCAAACAGGAUUAGAUACCCUUGUAGUC